rnacentral:rRNA from 1 species
UACAGAGGGUGCAAGCGUUAAUCGGAAUUACUGGGUGUAAAGCGGGCGUAGACGGUGAUGUAAGGCGGGUGUGAAAGCCCCGGGCUCAACCUGGGAAUGCCAUUCGAGACUGCAUAGCUAGGGUGCGGAAGAGGGAAGCGGAAUUUCAGGUGUAGCGGUGAAAUGCGUAGAUAUCUGAAGGAACACCAGUGGCGAAAGCGGCUUCCUGGUCCAGCACCGACGUUCAGGCACGAAAGCGUGGGGAGCAAACAGG